AAUGCCAAGCAACCGCGAUUGCUCUAGUAACGGCGAGUGAACCGGCAAUGUCAAGGCUCAACCCGGACGGAUCCCAUCUGCCUCUGCCCUCGGGCAGUCUGUGCAGCCGGCUAUGCUGUGGUUAUCCGAAGCUGUGGGCUGAAAGGAGCGGGCAGUGUGUGCCAGGGCUGGCCGAGGCCCCAGGAAGGUGCCCUGGAAUGGACCGCCACGGAGGGAUACUGUCCCGUACUCCGUCGUGGGCCCCGGCCGCCCCGGUGCUGCUGUUCGUAUCCAUGAGUAGAUCUGCUUGGGACUGCAGUUUGAAGCGCGACAUGUAUCCGUCGCAAGGUGCAAUACCGCUGUGGGACCGAUAGCGCACAAGUAGAGUGAUUGAAGGAUGCAAAGGACUUUGCAAAGAGGGUUAAAAGUCCCUGAAGCCUCGGCAGGAACGGUGGAGUGUGGUGCUGUGCUGUGGGACUCGUUCCCCAAGGACCAAGGCAGCCUCGGGCCAGCCCCGUGCUGGCCGCUGAGCCCUUCGCCCAGGCGAUGGAUGCAGUCGCGGUAGCUUAUGUGGGUGACAGUCGGCCUGUCAGGGCCUGAGGCUCGCUGAUGAACCUGGUGUGUCUCCGGGCAUGCCAGUCGCCAUCGAUCCGCUCCCGGCUCAGGGGCUGGUGGACGCGUUGGGGGCCCGUCACCUCCCGGUGGCGGCCGCCGCGUGCCCCGGCCGGCCCCCCGGACGGAACGUGGUGUAGCAGACGAGGGCAGCGGAGCUUGGUCAAUCAGUGCCGCUCUCUGCCCGUCUUGAAACACGGACCAAGGAGUCUAUGGAGCUUGCAGGUUGGUAAGCCGAAACUGUGCCCCAGGCAUGGUGAAGGCGAGCCUUCCAGACGGCAUGGAGCCACGUGCGAGAGUGCCUGCAUGGAACACCGGCCCCCGCGUCCAGUGGACGGGGUUUUGAGUGAUGGCAAGGUCCAUGGGACCCGAAAGGUGGUGAACUAUACCUAGCCACGACGAAGCCAUGGGAAACUGUGGUGGAGGUCGGUCGCUGUUCUGACGUGCAAAUUGUGUAGCCUGAGCUUGGCAUAGGGGUGAAAGGCCAAUCGAACCACCUAGUAGCUGGUUUCCCU
rnacentral:rRNA from 1 species